AUCAUCCGUUGCCGAUAAGACCUGUACAACUGCUGUAGUCGCUAUGCGGUUUUUGUCGUGCGCAAAACCUGAUAUUAUUACAGUAGUGGUAGUACCUAGCGGGCAGCUGUUCGGUGUAACAAUACAGAUAGCCUGCUGGUGUACUAUUUAAUAUGUGAUAACGUGCGGCGGUCUUCACGACACAACAUCAGCAACAGCCAACAGGUAUAGUGUUAAUACAGCCGUAGUACCGCCAUGUCGCACGACUCGUUCAGACACUGUUUUCUCACGUGCGCUGCAUUGUUGAUGAUUGCGGCUUGGAUGACCACGGCCACUACCGGCGGCAAAUACGUGUCGAACCUGGACUCGACGUGCGUCCGGUGUCUGUGUCACGCGUCCACCCUGUGCAAUUCGUCCUUUGGAUGUUCCAGAGGUUUCUGCGGUCCUUUUUUCUUGCACCGCGAAUACUGGAAGGACGCGGGUCAACUAGUGUUGCAGGACGACGACCCGGACCGGGACAUGGCGUUCGUCGACUGCGCCCAGGACUUGGUGUGCGCUCAAAAAGUGGUGGAGAGUUACAUGGCCAAGUGGGGAAAGGACUGUAAUCAAGAUGGCGUGACCGACUGUGACGACUACGCCAGAACGCACUUUAGCGGACGCGAAGACUGUUCGCCAAUCGACAGGACUAACUUCUGGAGGCGAUACGAAACGUGCCGGCCUGGCGCCAAAGGACAGUUUGGCAGCGGGAAAAAGAGAUAUCUGGUGCACGACCAAAAGAUACGUCAUCAUUGAUUCGCGUCGAGGCAACUGUGUGACGUGGAAUGUGUUUCAAUUAAGAAUAUUAGUAUCCCACAAGUAGACCUAAAUCAGUAGAUUACACGAGUUGCAGUUGUAUAGCUAUAGUUGUUCCUCAAUAGCCGAGGUAACUAAAUUGAACUUUGGACUGAAAACUUGAACAUUUUAUGAACUGCUUUAUUUUACUUUAUCAUUUAUUAUUAUUAUUUUUAUUAUCUCUAUUAUUUUAUCACAAGAUUUAUUUUUUUAUUUAUAUUUUUAAUAAUUUGAAUAUGACGUUGAUUGCGCGCUGAAAAUAAUAAACAAAAAGUCAUAUUUAUUUAAA